rnacentral:rRNA from 1 species
AUUGAACGCUGGCGGCAGGCCUAACACAUGCAAGUCGAACGGAGUGGCGGACGGGUGAGUAAUGUCUGGGAAACUGCCUGAUGGAGGGGGAUAACUACUGGAAACGGUAGCUAAUACCGCAUACUAUCAGAUGAGCCUAGGUCGGAUUAGCUAGUUGGUGGGGUAAAGGCCUACCAAGGCGACGAUCCGUAACUGGUCUGAGAGGAUGAUCCCUCCCACUGGAACUGAGACACGGUCCAGACUCCUCCGGGGGUCCCCCGUGUGGGCUCUUGGGCCAUGGGCGAAAGCCUGCUCCAGCCAUGCCGCGUGUGUGCAGACGGUCUUCGGAUUGUCAAGCACUUUAAGUUGGGAGGCGUUACCAACAGAAUAAGCACCGGCUAACUUCGUGCCAGCAGCCGCGGUAAUAC